rnacentral:rRNA from 1 species
UACGAAGGGGGCUAGCGUUGCUCGGAAUUACUGGGCGCAAAGCGCACGUAGGCGGCUUUGUAAGUUAGAGGUGAAAGCCUGGUGCUCAACACCAGAACUGCCUUUAAGACUGCAUCGCUUGAAUCAUGGAGAGGCGGGUGGAAUUCCGAGUGUAGAGGUGAAAUUCGUAGAUAUUCGGAAGAACACCAGUGGCGAAGGCGGCCCGCUGGACAUGUAUUGACGCUGAGGUGCGAAAGCGUGGGGAGCAAACAGG